rnacentral:rRNA from 1 species
CGCGCAGGCGGGCCGGUAAGUUGGAAGUGAAAUCUAUGGGCUUAACCCAUAAACUGCUUUCAAAACUGCUGGUCUUGAGUGAUAGAGAGGCAGGCGGAAUUCCGUGUGUAGCGGUGAAAUGCGUAGAUAUACGGAGGAACACCAGUGGCGAAGGCGGCCUGCUGGACAUUAACUGACGCUGAGGCUCGAAAGCGUGGGAGCAAACA